rnacentral:rRNA from 1 species
UACGUAGGGGGCAAGCGUUGUCCGGAAUUAUUGGGCGUAAAGCGCGCGCAGGCGGUCUUUUAAGUCUGGUGUUUAAGUGCGGGGCUCAACCCCGUGACGCACUGGAAACUGGGAGGCUUGAGUGCAGAAGAGGAGAGCGGAAUUCCACGUGUAGCGGUGAAAUGCGUAGAGAUGUGGAGGAACACCAGUGGCGAAGGCGGCUCUCUGGCCUGUAACUGACGCUGAGGCGCGAAAGCGUGGGGAGCAAACAGG